rnacentral:tRNA from 1 species
GGGCGAUUAGCUCAGGGGUAGAGCACCGCAUUCACACUGCGGGGGUCGCAAGUUCGAAACUUGCAUCGCCCACCA